AGAAAUUCCAAUCGAACCUGGAGAUAGCUGGUUCUCUCCGAAAUAGCUUUAGGGCUAGCCUCAAGUGAUGAUUAUUGGAGGUAGAGCACUGUUUGGACGAGGGGCCCCUCUCGGGUUACCGAAUUCAGACAAACUCCGAAUGCCAAUUAAUUUAACUUGGGAGUCAGAACAUGGGUGAUAAGGUCCGUGUUCGAAAGGGAAACAGCCCAGACCACCAGCUAAGGUCCCAAAAUAUAUGUUAAGUGGAAAAGGAUGUGGCGUUGCCCAGACAACUAGGAUGUUGGCUUAGAAGCAGCCAUCAUUUAAAGAGUGCGUAAUAGCUCACUAGUCGAGUGACACUGCGCCGAAAAUGUACCGGGGCUAAACAUAUUACCGAAGCUGUGGAUUGUCCUUUGGACAAUGGUAGGAGAGCGUUCUAAGGGCGUUGAAGCAUGAUCGUAAGGACAUGUGGAGCGCUUAGAAGUGAGAAUGCCGGUGUGAGUAGCGAAAGACGGGUGAGAAUCCCGUCCACCGAUUGACUAAGGUUUCCAGAGGAAGGCUCGUCCGCUCUGGGUUAGUCGGGUCCUAAGCUGAGGCCGACAGGCGUAGGCGAUGGAUAACAGGUUGAUAUUCCUGUACCACCUAU
rnacentral:rRNA from 1 species